GAUGAAGAACGUAGUGAAAUGCGAUAAGUAAUGCGAAUUGCAGAAUUCAGUGAGUCAUCGAAUCUUUGAACGCACAUUGCGCCCGCCAGUAUUCUGGCGGGCAUGCCUGUUCGAGCGUCAUUACAACCCUCAGGCCCCCGGGCCUGGCGUUGGGGAUCGGCGGAAGCCCCCUGCGGGCACAACGCCGUCCCCCAAAUACAGUGGCGGUCCCGCCGCAGCUUCCAUUGCGUAGUAGCUAACACCUCGCAACUGGAGAGCGGCGCGGCCACGCCGUAAAACACCCAACUUCUGAAUGUUGACCUCGAAUCAGGUAGGAAUACCCGCUGAACUUAAGCAUAUCAAUAAGCGGAGGA
rnacentral:misc_RNA from 1 species